rnacentral:rRNA from 1 species
CCUACGGGUGCAGCAGUGGGGAAUAUUGGACAAUGGGCGAAAGCCUGAUCCAGCCAUGCCGCGUGUGUGAAGAAGGCCUUCGGGUUGUAAAGCACUUUCAGUGGGGAAGAAAGCCUUGGGGCUAAUACCCUCGAGGAAGGACAUCACCCACAGAAGAAGCACCGGCUAACUCCGUGCCAGCAGCCGCGGUAAUACGGAGGGUGCGAGCGUUAAUCGGAAUUACUGGGCGUAAAGCGCGCGUAGGCGGUCUGAUAAGCCGGUUGUGAAAGCCCCGGGCUCAACCUGGGAACGGCAUCCGGAACUGUCAGGCUAGAGUGCAGGAGAGGAAGGUAGAAUUCCCGGUGUAGCGGUGAAAUGCGUAGAGAUCGGGAGGAAUACCAGUGGCGAAGGCGGCCUUCUGGACUGACACUGACGCUGAGGUGCGAAAGCGUGGGUAGCAAACAGGAUUAGAUACCCUGGUAGUC